AUUGAACGCUGGCGGCAGGCCUAACACAUGCAAGUCGAGCGGGGUUUUCGGACCUAGCGGCGGACGGGUGAGUAAUGCGUAGGAAGCUGCCCGAUAGAGGGGGAUACCAGUUGGAAACGACUGUUAAUACCGCAUAAUGUCUACGGACCAAAGUGUGGGACCUUCGGGCCACAUGCUAUCGGAUGCGCCUACGUGGGAUUAGCUAGUUGGUGAGGUAAUGGCUCACCAAGGCGACGAUCUCUAGCUGGUUUGAGAGGAUGAUCAGCCACACUGGACCUGAGACACGGUCCAGACUCCUACGGGAGGCAGCAGUGGGGAAUAUUGGACAAUGGGCGCAAGCCUGAUCCAGCCAUGCCGCGUGUGUGAAGAAGGCCUUCGGGUUGUAAAGCACUUUCAGCGAGGAGGAAGGGGUGUGUGUUAAUAGUACACACCUUUGACGUUACUCGCAGAAGAAGCACCGGCUAACUCCGUGCCAGCAGCCGCCGUAAGAC
rnacentral:rRNA from 1 species